UACGGAGGAUGCAAGCGUUAUCCGGAAUGAUUGGGCGUAAAGGGGCCGCAGGUGGCUAUGUAAGUCUGCUGUUAAAGAGUGAGGCUCAACCUCAUAAGAGCAGUGGAAACUACAUAGCUAGAGUGCGGUCGGGGCAGAGGGAAUUCCUGGUGUAGCGGUGAAAUGCGUAGAGCUCGGGAAGAACAUCGGUGGCGAAAGCGCUCUGCUGGACUGCAACUGACACUCAGGGACGAAAGCUAGGGGAGCGAAUGGG
rnacentral:rRNA from 1 species